UACGUAGGGUGCAAGCGUUAAUCGGAAUUACUGGGCGUAAAGCGUGCGCAGGCGGUUUGGAAGGAAAGGUGUGAAAUCCCAGAGCUUAACUUUGGAACUGCACUUUUAACUGCCAAGCUAGAGUAUGUCAGAGGGGGGUAGAAUUCCACGUGUAGCAGUGAAAUGCGUAGAGAUGUGGAGGAAUACCGAUGGCGAAGGCAGCCCCCUGGGAUGAUACUGACGCUCAUGCACGAAAGCGUGGGGAGCAAACAGG
rnacentral:rRNA from 1 species